rnacentral:rRNA from 1 species
GAGAGUUAAACAGUACGUGAAAUUGUUGAAAGGGAAACGAUUGAAGUCAGUCAUACCAACGGGAAAUCAACCUUUUGAGUUUGUUCUUGUGGGUUUCGAGGAGUUUAAAAGCCUUCUGAUUUGCUAGGAUUGGGCUCUUUUGGUGUACUUUCUCGUACGGUUAGUCAACAUCGGUUUUGAAUGUCAUAAAAUGACUGGAGGAAUGUGGCUUCGAUCUCGUAUCGAAGUGUUAUAACCUUUGGUAGAUGUGAUGUUCGAGACCGAGGAUUGCAACGGAUACCUUCUGGGCUAUUCGUCUGAUCUCUGAUACGUUGCCUUGAUGUCGAAAGCGUGCUUAUGAUGUUAGGGUAUUACGGUCAAAAGGUUAGAACGGAUUAAAUUCGUUAAGGAUGUUGACGUAAUGACUUUAAACGA